CCUACGGGGGGCUGCAGUGGGGAAUAUUGGACAAUGGGCGCAAGCCUGAUCCAGCAAUGCCGCGUGAGUGAUGAAGGCCUUAGGGUUGUAAAGCUCUUUUACCCGGGAAGAUAAUGACGGUACCGGGAGAAUAAGCCCCGGCUAACUCCGUGCCAGCAGCCGCGGUAAUACGGAGGGGGCUAGCGUUGUUCGGAAUUACUGGGCGUAAAGCGCGCGUAGGCGGCCAUUUAAGUCAGAGGUGAAAGCCCGGUGCUCAACAUCGGAAUUGCCUUUGA
rnacentral:rRNA from 1 species